GGGGGCGAAUCGGUCUCGACAUGGAGUGAUCGUGGUCGGAGCAGCAAGCCGAGGUGCGGUGGCCUCGCUAAACUGCCGCAAAAACACAUCUGCCGAGAGUAAUCUCGCGCUCGCUGCCUAAGUAGGCGGCGAUGUCAGCUCCGAGGGGCCCACGCUCGGAGGCCUGGCAUCAGAAAGUGGGCUAGGAAAGCGCCGGUUGGCCUCAGCCGACGACGACCGAAGGUAAGUGAGGCUGGCGGCCCGGAUCCGGCCGACGCGGAGUCGGGCUCGCGAGACGAAAAGCGCCGGCUAAGCUUGUAGAGACUCCGCCAGGGCUUCCGUGGACGCGGGUUCGAAUCCCGCCGCCUCCACCA
rnacentral:tmRNA from 1 species